GUCCAGUCAGCACUCCCUCAUACCAAGACCUAAUCCUGGACUAGAUAGCCUCUUGGCUCACAGCAGAUAUCUGGCCAGUUCAGCCCUCUCUACCAAUACAUCACGGGCUUACAAUAGAGCAUUCACUCUCUAUACCAAAUUUACUUCAGAUUACCAGAUCUGCGACACACACUCCCUAAACUCCAUAGUGGCAUUUAUCUCUUUUUGCCACCUUGACCUAAAAUUCUUUUAAAUCAAACUCUCUCUGAGCACUCCCUCAUACCAAGACCUAAUCCUGGAC